UCGGCAUUUCCGGUCGCGACCAUGUCGACCAGAUCGGAGUCGAGCAGCAACGGAGAGUGUUCGAGGAUCGGAACCGCCACCGAUGCCUGAUCGACAGCAAGCGCCGCCACNGCAUCCAGCGAGUGCGCGAAAACUUCCGCCAUCGCCUGCCGCACCAGCGGCGAGGCAUCAUGAGAAGCAUCAGCAGCGCGCCUUCCGCGGCGGCGCGAUCGUCUUCCGACAAAUCGGAAAUGAGCCAGGCGCGGGCCAGACACCGCGUCGCCUCUGCGCGCUCCCCUGCGG
rnacentral:misc_RNA from 1 species